rnacentral:lncRNA from 1 species
AAGCUCAGCUUCUUCCCCUGGAGCAAUGACUUUCUGCUGUCAUUUUCAAACUGCCUACUACUGUUUAUUUGGAAUCUAAACAUCUGAGAAGCUUAAAAGACCCAAUUUGUUGAGGGUACAGGCUGCACUCCCAUGUUGAUAGCAAGAUUUAUUAAAAUGUGACUUUUGCAAUGUAAUCUAUAUACAUAGUGAAAUGAUCACUGUAAUCAAGCUAAUUAGAAUAUCCCCCAUCUCGCAUAGUCACCUUUGUGUGUGAAAAGGGUUCAGUGCUUCCCUCUCCACUCUUCAUCUCCCCUUUAAGGAAGUUAUCUUUAUCUUUAUUUUAUAGUUACAGUAUUUGAGACUCAGAGAAGUGAAAUCUUUGUUUGAAAUACACACAAUUCAUAAGUGGCAGAAUAUCUAAAGUUCAGUUUCUAUUUGUUCAAUGUUCAAUAUGAACAUUAAGGUUAUGUACUUGGGGAUGAGGAGUAAAGUGUUGAAGCAGAAAGAGGAGGAGUAUUUGAAAGAGACUGGGGAUUUUGAUUUUAUAUCCACCCCUGGGAAGUGGCUGUCCAUGCAGGGAAAUUUUCCUUUCAGAAAGAAGUAAGCGGUGGGUGGAUGAAAGGAUAAAAAUGAACACAUCUACACCUUCUCACCCUCAAAAUAAAAAUGAAGGCCACUUGGAAUUACUAGUGCUCUCAUGUGAAUAUCUCUGAAGUGAUGAUAGUACUAAAUCAGUCAGUCAGCAUUGACUGGCUGCCUGCUUGAUACUUACACAGUUCCUAUAAAAAGAAACUGGAGCA